CAGCCGCCGCGGGAAUACGUAGGUCCCGAGCGUUGUCCGGAUUUAUUGGGCGUAAAGGGAGCGCAGGCGGUUUAGUAAGUCUGGAGUUAAAGGCAUUGGCUCAACCAAUGUAUGCUUUGGAAACUGUUUGACUUGAGUGCAGAAGGGGAGAGUGGAAUUCCAUGUGUAGCGGAGAAAUGCGUAGAUAUAUGGAGGAACACCGGUGGCGAAAGCGGCUCUCUGGUCUGUCACUGACGCUGAGGCUCGAAAGCGUGGGUAGCGAACAGGAUUAGAUACCCCGGUAGUCCCUGUCUCUUAUACA
rnacentral:rRNA from 1 species